GGACAGGUGGCCGAGUGGUUGAAGGCGCACGCCUGGAAAGCGUGUAAACGGCUCAAACCGUUUCGAGGGUUCGAAUCCCUCCCUGUCCG
rnacentral:tRNA from 1 species